rnacentral:rRNA from 1 species
CCACGCCGUAAACGAUGAGUACUAAGUGUCGGCAAAGUCGGUGCUGCAGUUAACGCAUUAAGUACUCCGCCUGAGUAGUACGUGCGCAAGCAUAAAACUCAAAGGAAUUGGCGGGACCUCGCACAAGCGGUGGAUCAUGUUGUUUAAUUCGAAGAUACGCGAAGAACCUUACCAGGCCUUGACAUACCGAGCAAAGCUAUUGAAAGAUAGUGGAGGUUAUCUGGGAUACAGGUGGUGCAUGGUUGU